GUGGGGAAUAUUGGACAAUGGGCGCAAGCCUGAUCCAGCCAUGCCGCGUGAGUGAUGAAGGCCCUAGGGUUGUAAAGCUCUUUCACCGGUGAAGAUAAUGACGGUAACCGGAGAAGAAGCCCCGGCUAACUUCGUGCCAGCAGCCGCGGUAAUACGAAGGGGGCUAGCGUUGUUCGGAAUUACUGGGCGUAAAGCGCACGUAGGCGGACAUUUAAGUCAGGGGUGAAAUCCCAGAGCUCAACUCUGGAACUGCCUUUGAUACUGGGUAUCUCGAGUAUGGAAGAGGUGAGUGGAAUUCCGAGUGUAGAGGUGAAAUUCGUAGAUAUUCGGAGGAACACCAGUGGCGAAGGCGGCUCACUGGUCCAUUACUGACGCUGAGGUGCGAAAGCGUGGGGAGCAAACAGGAUUAGAAACCCUAGUAGUCC
rnacentral:rRNA from 1 species